rnacentral:rRNA from 1 species
AUUGAACGCUGGCGGCAUGCUUUACACAUGCAAGUCGAACGGCAGCGCGGGCUUCGGCCUGGCGGCGAGUGGCGAACGGGUGAGUAAUGCAUCGGAACGUGCCCAGUUGUGGGGGAUAGCCCGGCGAAAGCCGGAUUAAUACCGCAUACGACCUGAGGGUGAAAGCGGGGGACCGAAAGGCCUCGCGCCAUUGGAGCGGCCGAUGUCGGAUUAGCUAGUUGGUGGGGUAAAGGCUUACCAAGGCGACGAUCCGUAGCUGGUCUGAGAGGACGACCAGCCACACUGGAACUGAGACACGGCCCAGACUCCUACGGGAGGCAGCAGUGGGGAAUUUUGGACAAUGGGGGCAAGCCUGAUCCAGCCAUGCCGCGUGCGGGAAGAAGGCCUUCGGGUUGUAAACCGCUUUUGUUCGGGAAGAAAACCUCUGGGCUAAUACCCCGGGGGGAUGACGGUACCGGAAGAAUAAGCACCGGCUAACUACGUG